rnacentral:rRNA from 1 species
CCUACGGGGGGCAGCAGUGGGGAAUAUUGCACAAUGGGGGAAACCCUGAUGCAGCGACGCCGCGUGAGUGAAGAAGUAUUUCGGUAUGUAAAGCUCUAUCAGCAGGGAAGAAAAUGACGGUACCUGAGUAAGAAGCCCCGGCUAACUACGUGCCAGCAGCCGCGGUAAUACGUAGGGGGCAAGCGUUAUCCGGAUUUACUGGGUGUAAAGGGAGCGUAGACGGGAGCACAAGUCUGGAGUGAAAGUCCGGGGCUUAACCCCGUAACUGCUGUUGAAACUGUGCAGCUAGAGUGCAGGAGAGGUAAGGGGAAUUCCUGGUGUAGCGGUGAAAUGCGUAGAUAUUAGGAGGAACACCAGUGGCGAAGGCAGCUUACUGGACUGUAACUGACGUUGAGGCUCGAAAGCGUGGGGAGCAAACAGGAUUAGAUACCCUUGUAGUC